UGGUUUUCAAAUUUCAUUCACAACAGCAACAAAAACACACAACAACAUAAUAUAAUAUAUACUAUGACACAUUCACAUGCACACACACACUGGACACUUUAUUCACACCAGAAUACAGUGAAAUAAGGAGAAAAACAGAUAAAAAAGAGAGAGAAAACUAGUGAGAAAAAUUUGAUAAAAGGGAAAGUAAAAAAUGAGGAAAUAGUAAAAGACGGAGUGAAACUGAAAAAAAUAGAAUUGAAUGAAAUAGAGACAACAACUUCUUUUUUGGUGAAUCUUCUCCGGAAUAGCCAUGUUCACCGGCGAAUUAAGUUUCUGACUAACCCGUCUCACCAUUGUUAUUGUUACAGUGGCUGAAAGCCACCAAAUACUAGAUCUACCGCCACUGAUCUACUACCAAAAUCGUCGGUAAACCACUAAAAACAGACCCCAUCAAUUUUCUGGUGAAUACCCAUCGAAAACUCGCCAAAAACCGUUGGAAAACCACCAGAAAAUUAUAGAUCUGGUGCCGCUGACGCUUCUCUCCCCUUUCCCAUCUCCGAAAUCACUAUCUCCUCUGACGGAUCUAGCAGAAAAUAAUUAAAACAAAUUCUCUCUAGCCAAGUUCUUCGCUGGAAACGACCGACCUCCCACCAGCCACCACGGCCGCCACCCUUUUUCUUUUCCUUUUUCGGCGCUUAAAAACCACCGUAUUCCAUUCUCUUUCUCCUUUUUUCCCUUUCCAUUGUCGUGACGCCACCAAUGCCAGCUGCCAUGGUUGUCGGCAUGAUCCCUAUUGCAUCAGUUGUUCUUUUUGUUUUUCUUUUUGUAAUUUUUG
rnacentral:lncRNA from 1 species